ACAAGGUCUCCGUUGGUGAACCAGCGGAGGGAUCAUUACAGAGUUAUCCAACUCCCAAACCCAUGUGAACUUAUCUCUUUGUUGCCUCGGCGCAAGCUACCCGGGACCUCGCGCCCCGGGCGGCCCGCCGGCGGACAAACCAAAACUCUUGUUAUCUUAGUUGAUUAUCUGAGUGUCUUAUUUAAUAAGUCAAAACUUUCAACAACGGAUCUCUUGGUUCUGGCAUCGAUGAAGAACGCAGCGAAAUGCGAUAAGUAAUGUGAAUUGCAGAAUUCAGUGAAUCAUCGAAUCUUUGAACGCACAUUGCGCCCAUUAGUAUUCUAGUGGGCAUGCCUGUUCGAGCGUCAUUUCAACCCCUAAGCACAGCUUAUUGUUGGGAACCUACGGCUUCGUAGUUCCUCAAAGACAUUGGCGGAGUGGCAGUGGUCCUCUGAGCGUAGUAAUCUUUUAUCUCGCUUCUGUUAGGUGCUGCCCCCCCGGCCGUAAAACCCCCAAUUUUUUCUGGUUGACCUCGGAUCAGGUAGGAAUACCCGCUGAACUUAAGCAUAUCAAUAAGCGGAGGAAAACUU
rnacentral:rRNA from 1 species